rnacentral:lncRNA from 1 species
UUGAGCUCUGUGUCCAAUAAUAUAUUCGCUGACUUGAUAUUCUUAUGAAUAAUAGAUGGCGAACAAACUUCAUGCAGGUACCUGAAGAAAACCCUUUGAGUAUCAGGAAGCUCGUCACUAGUAUCAUAGAUAAGUUACCACUGAUUUAUGAAGGUCUCGGUUGCAAAGGUUGGACUCUUUCCCUAUCUUUUGGUAAGUUCUAGAUUCCAACAUCAAAAUUCUUUAACAAAAGUCUAGGCCAUGUCCUGCAUCUUAGAAAGAGUGAGGACUGUUCACGUGGAGUAGAAACAGAUAUGCCAAAGCAACUUCUUCAUAUGCAAAGGUUUUAGAUGCUCAGAAAAUGAGUUGAUAAAAAGUUCACCUUGUUUUGCUGGCCUCAGGUUUUUACAUUAUUAAAAUUCAUACCAUGGAACUAAAUAGUUAAUGAUUAUCAUUUUUGUUGAAUCAUUCAAGUGGGCGAUGACCCAAUCCCUUUUCCCCAAUAUUUGAAUAAUAAAGCAGAUGAUAGAUAACGGGGAAGAGAAUGGAGGACGUGUUCACUUUUUUUUUUGGCACAAUUUGAUGUUAGUGAGAAACAAUUAGAACUAUAGAAUUCCUUUUCUGAACUUACUCCAAUGCCCGAGCAGUCCCCAGAGCUAUCUUGACACGGGAAUUCCAUAUCAAAGGUUUGCUGUACUCAUCUGAUAGAUGCAAGAAGUCAUGCAGUGAGCCAUUUUUAUGGAACUCAUAGACCAGCAGAUGCUGUCCAUGCUCUGAACAAUAACCCACUAGUUCUGUCACGUUUGGAUGAUGCAACAAGGAAAUGCUUGAAACCAUCUCCAUAAAAUCAUCAGACAUAUGGCUGGGCAGAAUGC